rnacentral:rRNA from 1 species
CUGUGAGCUCGAUGAGUAGGGCGGGACACGUGGUAUCCUGUCUGAAUAUGGGGGGACCAUCCUCCAAGGCUAAAUACUCCUGACUGACCGAUAGUGAACCAGUACCGUGAGGGAAAGGCGAAAAGAACCCCGGCGAGGGGAGUGAAAAAGAACCUGAAACCGUGUACGUACAAGCAGUGGGAGCACAGAGCAAUCUGUGUGACUGCGUACCUUUUGUAUAAUGGGUCAGCGACUUAUAUUCUGUAGCAAGGUUAACCGAAUAGGGGAGCCGAAGGGAAACCGAGUCUUAACUGGGCGUUAAGUUGCAGGGUAUAGACCCGAAACCCGGUGAUCUAGCCAUGGGCAGGUUGAAGGUUGGGUAACACUAACUGGAGGACCGAACCGACUAAUGUUGAAAAAUUAGCGGAUGACUUGUGGCUGGGGGUGAAAGGCCAAUCAAACCGGGAGAUAGCUGGUUCUCCCCGAAAGCUAUUUAGGUAGCGCCUCGUGAAUUCAUCUCCGGGGGUAGAGCACUGUUUCGGCAAGGGGGUCAUCCCGACUUACCAACCCGAUGCAAACUGCGAAUACCGGAGAAUGUUAUCACGGGAGACACACGGCGGGUGCUAACGUCCGUCGUGAAGAGGGAAACAACCCAGACCGCCAGCUAAGGUCCCAAAGUCAUGGUUAAGUGGGAAACGAUGUGGGAAGGCCCAGACAGCCAGGAUGUUGGCUUAGAAGCAGCCAUCAUUUAAAGAAAGCGUAAUAGCUCACUGGUCGAGUCGGCCUGCGCGGAAGAUGUAACGGGGCUAAACCAUGCACCGAAGCUGCGGCAGCGACACUGUGUGUUGUUGGGUAGGGGAGCGUUCUGUAAGCCUGUGAAGGUGUGCUGUGAGGCAUGCUGGAGGUAUCAGAAGUGCGAAUGCUGACAUAAGUAACGAUAAAGCGGGUGAAAAGCCCGCUCGCCGGAAGACCAAGGGUUCCUGUCCAACGUUAAUCGGGGCAGGGUGAGUCGACCCCUAAGGCGAGGCCGAAAGGCGUAGUCGAUGGGAAACAGGUUAAUAUUCCUGUACUUGGUGUUACUGCGAAGGGGGGACGGAGAAGGCUAUGUUGGCCGGGCGACGGUUGUCCCGGUUUAAGCGUGUAGGCUGGUUUUCCAGGCAAAUCCGGAAAAUCAAGGCUGAGGCGUGAUGACGAGGCACUACGGUGCUGAAGCAACAAAUGCCCUGCUUCCAGGAAAAGCCUCUAAGCAUCAGGUAACAUCAAAUCGUACCCCAAACCGACACAGGUGGUCAGGUAGAGAAUACCAAGGCGCUUGAGAGAACUCGGGUGAAGGAACUAGGCAAAAUGGUGCCGUAACUUCGGGAGAAGGCACGCUGAUAUGUAGGUGAAGUCCCUCGCGGAUGGAGCUGAAAUCAGUCGAAGAUACCAGCUGGCUGCAACUGUUUAUUAAAAACACAGCACUGUGCAAACACGAAAGUGGACGUAUACGGUGUGACGCCUGCCCGGUGCCGGAAGGUUAAUUGAUGGGGUCAGCGCAAGCGAAGCUCUUGAUCGAAGCCCCGGUAAACGGCGGCCGUAACUAUAACGGUCCUAAGGUAGCGAAAUUCCUUGUCGGGUAAGUUCCGACCUGCACGAAUGGCGUAAUGAUGGCCAGGCUGUCUCCACCCGAGACUCAGUGAAAUUGAACUCGCUGUGAAGAUGCAGUGUACCCGCGGCAAGACGGAAAGACCCCGUGAACCUUUACUAUAGCUUGACACUGAACAUUGAGCCUUGAUGUGUAGGAUAGGUGGGAGGCUUUGAAGUGUGGACGCCAGUCUGCAUGGAGCCGACCUUGAAAUACCACCCUUUAAUGUUUGAUGUUCUAACGUGGACCCGUGAUCCGGGUUGCGGACAGUGUCUGGUGGGUAGUUUGACUGGGGCGGUCUCCUCCUAAAGAGUAACGGAGGAGCACGAAGGUUGGCUAAUCCUGGUCGGACAUCAGGAGGUUAGUGCAAUGGCAUAAGCCAGCUUGACUGCGAGCGUGACGGCGCGAGCAGGUGCGAAAGCAGGUCAUAGUGAUCCGGUGGUUCUGAAUGGAAGGGCCAUCGCUCAACGGAUAAAAGGUACUCCGGGGAUAACAGGCUGAUACCGCCCAAGAGUUCAUAUCGACGGCGGUGUUUGGCACCUCGAUGUCGGCUCAUCACAUCCUGGGGCUGAAGUAGGUCCCAAGGGUAUGGCUGUUCGCCAUUUAAAGUGGUACGCGAGCUGGGUUUAGAACGUCGUGAGACAGUUCGGUCCCUAUCUGCCGUGGGCGCUGGAGAACUGAGGGGGGCUGCUCCUAGUACGAGAGGACCGGAGUGGACGCAUCACUGGUGUUCGGGUUGUCAUGCCAAUGGCACUGCCCGGUAGCUAAAUGCGGAAGAGAUAAGUGCUGAAAGCAUCUAAGCACGAAACUUGCCCCGAGAUGAGUUCUCCCUGACCCUUUAAGGGUCCUGAAGGAACGUUGAAGACGACGACGUUGAUAGGCCGGGUGUGUAAGCGCAGCGAUGCGUUGAGCUAACCGGUACUAAUGAACCGUGAGGCUUAACCUU